GACGGUGACGCGGGCACGAACCAGUACGACACAGAGAUCCACACGGUGUCCAACAACGGUUUCCGCAUCUACCCCGGAGACAAAGUGGCCGCUGCCGACCAGACACCCACCACCGUCCUAAACGCCUUCAGCACUCGCCUGACGCUGAUCGUGAGAGACGGGAAAGUCCAGUGGGUCUCCGACACCGCCUUCAACUAUCUGGAAGGUUCUGGAAUCUUCGGCCUCAACGGACAGACUGAUGACGUAGAGGCCAGGGGUGUGGCCAACUAUGACCUUUACCUUGGCCUCAACAAAGUGGUGUAUGGCCGGAGCAGGGUGGGCUCGGGGCUCUGCAAGGCGGCCAUCAGGUUCCUCUGUGAUAACGAGGUGGAGGAGGUCACCACCAGACCAACCACAACCACCACCACCACCACCACCACAACCACAACCACCAGAAAACCCAAGGGUGAACUUCUGCAGCGACUGAGAUCUCGUGAAUAAUUUGGACAAUCGUGUAAUUUUGUAUCUCUAACUGUGAACUGUGAGGAGAGAAUAAGAUCACAUGAAUAGUUGGGACAAUUAUGUAGUUUGUAUCCCUGAUUGUGAACUGUGGGGAGAGAAUGAGAUCAUGUGAAUAAUGUGGACAGUAGUGUUUACAUUUAAGAGUACCGGUGUGGGGUAGGAAGGGAGGGGAGAAGUAUUAACGUUUGCCUUGAUUUGUUCAUCCCAGAUAUGUGUUUACCUUUAUGUCCAUGUGGCGGGGUUCCAACCCUGCGUAUUGCUGUGCUUGUGUUUUGCGUCCCAGACUGGUAUAUGUCACUGGAUCAAUUAGGAGGCGGGCCACUCCGGCCUUUCCUCAAAGGGUCAGCCCAAGUGGUGUUGGGUACAGCCAAACAGAAAAA